rfam:Gossypium arboreum cultivar AKA8401 contig_30286_1, whole genome shotgun sequence.
GAGAUAUGAUGAGGUUUAAUUGGUCCGUGUUUCUGAUUCAACAGUGACAGACAAUUUUUUUUUACCAAACUCUGAUCUC